UACGAAGGGGGCUAGCGUUGUUCGGAAUCAUUGGGCGUAAAGGGCGCGUAGGUGGUUCUGUAUGUCUACCGUGAAAGCGUACGGCUCAACCGUAUUUUGUCGGUGGAAACUGCAGGACUUGAGGCUGGGAGGGGCUGGUGGAAUUCCCUGUGUAGCGGUGAAAUGCGUAGAGAUGGGGGAGAACACUCGUGGCGAAGGCGGCCAGCUAGACCAGUUCUGACACUGAGGCGCGACAGCGUGGGGAGCAAACAGG
rnacentral:rRNA from 1 species